UACGGGGGGGGCAAGCGGUUGUUCGGAAUUACUGGGCGUAAAGGGGCUCGUAGGCGGCCAACUAAGUCAGAACGUGAAAUCCCCAGGCUUAACCUGGGAACUGCGUCUGAUACUGGAUGGCUUGAAUUCGGGAGAGGGAUGCAGAAUUCCAGGUGUAGCGGUGAAAUGCGUAGAUAUCUGGAGGAAUACCGGUGGCGAAGGCGGGUCUCUGGACAGUUCCUGACGCUGAGGCGCGAAAGCUAGGGGAGCAAACGGG
rnacentral:rRNA from 1 species